AACGAACGCUGGCGGCAGGCUUAACACAUGCAAGUCGAACGCCCCGCAAGGGGAGUGGCAGACGGGUGAGUAACGCGUGGGAAUCUACCCAGUUCUACGGAACAACUGAGGGAAACUUCAGCUAUACCGGAUACGCCCUACGGGGGAAAGAUUUAUCGGUUCUGGAUGAGCCCGCGUUGGAGUAGCUAGUUGGUGGGGUAACGGCUCACCAAGGCGACGAUCCAUAGCUGGUCUGAGAGGAUGAUCAGCCACACUGGGACUGAGACACGGCCCAGACUCCUACGGGAGGCAGCAGUGGGGAAUAUUGGACAAUGGGCGAAAGCCUGAUCCAGCCAUGCCGCGUGAGUGAUGAAGGCCUUAGGGUUGUAAAGCUCUUUCAGUAGGGAAGAUAAUGACGGUACCUACAGAAGAAGCCCCGGCUAACUUCGUGCCAGCCGCCGCGGUAACAC
rnacentral:rRNA from 1 species